rfam:Ictidomys tridecemlineatus contig113289, whole genome shotgun sequence.
GGAGUUGUGGCUCAGUGGUUGAGCACUUGCCUUGAAAGUGUGAGGCACUGGGUUCAAUCCUAGCACCUCAU